GAUGAACGCUGGCGGCGUGCCUAAUACAUGCGAGUCGAGCGAACAGACGAGGAGCUUGCUCCUCUGACGUUAGCGGCGGACGGGUGAGUAACACGUGGAUAACCUACCUAUAAGACUGGGAUAACUUCGGGAAACCGGAGCUAAUACCGGAUAAUAUAUUGAACCGCAUGGUUCAAUAGCGAAAGACGGUUUUGCUGUCACUUAUAGAUGGAUCCGCGCCGCAUUAGCUAGUUGGUAAGGUAACGGCUUACCAAGGCAACGAUGCGUAGCCGACCUGAGAGGGUGAUCGGCCACACUGGAACUGAGACACGGUCCAGACUCCUACGGGAGGCAGCAGUAGGGAAUCUUCCGCAAUGGGCGAAAGCCUGACGGAGCAACGCCGCGUGAGUGAUGAAGGUCUUCGGAUCGUAAAACUCUGUUAUUAGGGAAGAACAAAUGUGUAAGUAACUAUGCACGUCUUGACGGUACCUAAUCAGAAAGCCACGGCUAACUACGUG
rnacentral:rRNA from 1 species